rnacentral:rRNA from 1 species
GACGAACGCUGGCGGCGUGCUUAACACAUGCAAGUCGAACGGUAAGGCCCUUCGGGGUACACGAGUGGCGAACGGGUGAGUAACACGUGGGUGAUCUGCCCUGCACUUCGGGAUAAGCCUGGGAAACUGGGUCUAAUACCGGAUAGGACCACUGCCUGCAUGGGUGGUGGUGGAAAGCUUUUGCGGUGUGGGAUGGGCCCGCGGCCUAUCAGCUUGUUGGUGGGGUGAUGGCCUACCAAGGCGACGACGGGUAGCCGGCGUGAGAGGGUGACCGGGCCUACGGGGAGUAGGAUACGGCCCAGACUCCUACGGGAGGCAGCAGUGGGGAAUAUUGGACACUGGGCGCAAGCCUGAUGCAGCGGAGCCGCGUGGGAGAUGACGGCCUUCGGGUUGUAAACCUCUUUCAGCACCGACGAAGCGCAAGUGACGGUAGGUGCAGAAGAAGGACCGGCCAACUACGUGCCAGCCGCCACAGUAA